UAGGAAUCUGCCUGGUAGUGGGGGAUAACGUUCCGAAAGGAACGCUAAUACCGCGUACGUCCUACGGGAGAAAGCAGGGGACCUUCGGGCCUUGCGCUAUCAGAUGAGCCUAGGUCGGAUUAGCUAGUUGGUGAGGUAAUGGCUCACCAAGGCGACGAUCCGUAACUGGUCUGAGAGGAUGAUCAGUCACACUGGAACUGAGACACGGUCCAGACUCCUACGGGAGGCAGCAGUGGGGAAUAUUGGACUAUGGGCGAAAGCCUGAUCCAGCCAUGCCGCGUGUGUGAAGAAGGUCUUCGGAUUGUAAAGCACUUUAAGUUGGGAGGAAGGGCAGUAAGUUAAUACCUUGCUGUUUUGACGUUACCGACAGAAUAAGCACC
rnacentral:rRNA from 1 species